UACGAAGGGGGCGAGCGUUGUUCCGAAUCACUGGGCGUAAAGGGCGCGUAGGCGGCCCUUCUUGUCGCGUGUGAAAGCCCCGGGCUCAACCUGGGAACUGCGUCGGAUACUGAUGGGCUUGAAUUCGGGAGAGGGAUGCAGAAUUCCAGGUGUAGCGGUGAAAUGCGUAGAUAUCUGGAGGAAUACCGGUGGCGAAGGCGGCAUCCUGGACCGACAUUGACGCUGAACGGCGAAAGCUAGGGGAGAAAACGGG
rnacentral:rRNA from 1 species